CAGGGAUUUUUCACAAUGAGCGAAGGCUUGAUGGAGCGCUGCCGCGUGAACGAUGAAGGUCUUUAAGAGUGAAAAGUUCUUUUAUUUGCCAAGAAUGACUUUACCAGGCGUGGCUACACUUGGACUGUACCAUUUUGACUAAGUGACGACCAAAUAGGUGCCAGCAGUCGCGGUAAUACAUAGGUCGCAAGCGUUAUCCGGAUUUAUUGGCCGAACCGCAAGCGCACGCGGAUUGAAAAGUCUGGUGUUAAAGGCAGCUGCUUAUUUGUUGUAUGCAUUGGAGACUAUUAAUCUAAAGUGUGGUAGGGAGUUUUGGAAUUUCAUGUGGAGCGGUGAAAUGCGUCUAUGUAUGAAGGAACAACAGUGGCGAAGGCGAAAUUUUAGGCCAUUACUGACGCUAAUGCUUGACGAUGUGCGGAGCAUCUAAGACUAUAUAACCUAGUCGUCCAUCCCACCAUCGACGAAGACUACCUGUCAUGCCGAUCCNCUCUUCACAUGACCUAACACAUUACUUAUCUCGCCUGANUAUCACUUNCNUCNGAGU
rnacentral:rRNA from 1 species